UUUGGAGAGUUUGAUCCUGGCUCAGGACGAACGCUGGCGGCGUGCCUAAUACAUGCAAGUCGAGCGGGACUUAUCCUUCGGGAUAAGCUUAGCGGCGGACGGGUGAGUAACACGUAGGCAACCUACCCUCUAGACUGGGAUAACUACCGGAAACGGUAGCUAAUACCGGAUAAUUCCUUCACCCUCAUGGGCGAGGGAUGAAAGGCGGAGCAAUCUGCUACUAGAGGAUGGGCCUGCGGCGCAUUAGCUAGUUGGUGGGGUAAUGGCCUACCAAGGCGACGAUGCGUAGCCGACCUGAGAGGGUGAACGGCCACACUGGGACUGAGACACGGCCCAGACUCCUACGGGAGGCAGCAGUAGGGAAUCUUCCGCAAUGGGCGAAAGCCUGACGGAGCAACGCCGCGUGAGUGAUGAAGGUUUUCGGAUCGUAAAGCUCUGUUGCCAGGGAAGAACGUCCGGUAGAGUAACUGCUACCGGAGUGACGGUACCUGAGAAGAAAGCCCCGGCUAACUACGUGCCAGCAGCCGCGGUAAUACGUAGGGGGCAAGCGUUGUCCGGAAUUA
rnacentral:rRNA from 1 species